UACGUAGGGUGCGAGCGUUAAUCGGAUUUACUGGGCGUAAAGCGUGCGCAGGCGGCCCGUUAAGACAGGUGUGAAAUCCCUGGGCUCAACCUGGGAAUGGCAUUUUGAACUGGCAGGCUCGAGUACGGUAGAGGGGGGUGGAAUUCCUGGUGUAGCAGUGAAAUGCGUAGAGAUCAGGAGGAACACCGAUGGCGAAGGCAGCCCCCUGGGCCUGUACUGACGCUCAUGCACGAAAGCGUGGGUAGCAAACAGG
rnacentral:rRNA from 1 species